ACCGCUACAAAUCACUAUACUAUCAUGCUCUACACUAACCAACUGUAGGAAAUGUCAAAUCUGACCCAAUCCAAUCGGGACUGUAGACAUACCCGUCCCUGGGACUGUGAACACACCCGUCCCUGCCCCGUUGCGACUAUCGGGCUCUAUCCACACUAACUGGUCCGUGGAGAGCAAGUCCAACUGGCAUGAGCGACACCAACGCGAAAGCACAAAGCCUGACUCCGGAGUGGCACUCUUGGGCGCUACCCAACCGAGUAUGCAGCGUAUCUCUGUCGAGCUCAAUCAGGCUCCAACUAGCCAAAGUCAAGUGAACAGGGUCAAAACAGGUCUACAAACCAAACCCACGUGCCCUCGGCACAAUCUAUGACCAAAAUAAGAAUCUGGGUCCACCGCUAACCCGAACGGCACCCAACGACCCGAAACAGCCUAAACUCUGCUGAAAAAUAAGCUCGGCACCCCAGCACGAGCGUAAAUGCCUUCUAAACUACCCCAGGUAUCCAUCGCACUGAUACUGCAACGAUACAAUCGAACCACGGCUCCUAGAGCUAAAUCUGGUAGUUUAAGCAUAUGACGGGUCAAAACGCAGAUUUUCUGCUAAGUCAAAUUUCAAGUCCAACAUGUAUAAUAUAAAUAUUCAUUUCAGCAUGCUUCUACAUUCAUAUUACAUUCAAGAUGCCAAUCGAUGAAUUAAAGC
rnacentral:lncRNA from 1 species